UACGGGGGGGGCAAGCGUUGUUCGGAAUUACUGGGCGUAAAGGGCUCGUAGGCGGCCAACUAAGUCGGAUGUGAAAUCCCCAGGCUUAACUUGGGAACUGCAUCCGAUACUGGAUGGCUUGAAUCCGGGAGAGGGAUGCGGAAUUCCAGGUGUAGCGGUGAAAUGCGUAGAUAUCUGGAGGAACACCGGUGGCGAAGGCGGCAUCCUGGACCGAUACUGACGCUGAGGAGCGAAAGCCAGGGGAGCAAACGGG
rnacentral:rRNA from 1 species